AAAGGCUAACAAACCAUGAGAACGAACUUGCCAGAGACCUAUUAAAUGACACCAAUAACAUCACAAGACUCAAAAGGUGGCAGAUCUUGGAACUAGACCAGAGAGAAUAACCCACCCUCUCUCUUCACAUAAAAGGAAUGGUGGUUAAUGGACCACCACCUUGAAAAAGAAAUGCCUUGGUAUAGAUACAUACAAUCUGAUUAUGGCUAAGAAAGCCGAUGGCAGAUGAAAGUAAAAGAAUAAAAAAAAAAAACAA